CUCCAGUGCUGUGAAAUACUAUCUGACCACUUUCAGAUUUCCUCCAUUUUUAUGUUUACCACCUUGUAAAAAGUUCUGACUUCUUGGAAGAUCGGACUUUUAAGGUGGAACCUAAUGAGGUUAGUUAGUAAAAAGUAAUUUUCUUCAGCAUGGAAGCGGCUGAAGAGACAGCUCAAACUCACACCACCUGUAACCAUGACGACAUACAAGUGGGAAAAGCAAACAGACUGGGGGGAGGAAAUGGAUCUCAUGACCAAAUUGUACUUUUCACUCAAUAAGAGCCUGGUGACGUCCCACCCGACUAGCCUGGAUGGUUCUGGAGAAAGCACCACAAACGGCUGGAGUCCAGAACCUGAGAGUGUAGUGAUGAAUUAGAUGUGAGGUCCAGAUGGACUUGUGAAUCCUGAAUUUCAGUUCUUUAGAACCGGGGGAGCCGAUAAGCGAGAGAUCGUUGUCAUCACUUUGGGUGAAAUACUGACUGGGGCAGGGAGUUUGGAUAGGAACCUGGAGCAGGACAACACUGGCGACAGACAGAAUUAUGGGACAGGAGAGGGUCAGACACGAGAAAGCAGAAUCAGGCAGACAAAGCCGGGGUCAGAGUCCGGACAGCAGGAGCCAGUGAGGUACCCAGUAAGAGAAAACAAAGCAGGGAAAUCCAGGAGACAAAAACAUGGUUGUCAUCAGGCAGGCAGGCCCAUCGGACAUCUACUCCUACUACGGCUUUCAAAAAUCUGGCACUGUCUGCCUGCAAGAGAGCUGCAUUUAAAGGCAGGUGAACAGGUGCAUGAAUGAGCUGAUUGCACGGCUGAGCAGCAGGACACGGGAGCAACAGCUGAGCUGAUUGCAGAGCAGGAGAGUAGUGGUGGAGACAUGGGCAGGCAGAUGGGACAGAAUCGUAACCACAGGCAUGCUGUGAGGCAGCAUCAAGUCAUGGCCACAAAAAGUGCUUCUGAACAACGACGUGAUCAUGGUCUGGAUGAUGAGCAAGACAUGAUGAGUGACUCUGCUGGAGGACCUCGAACAGGCAGCUGCUGCAGGAAAUCAUAAAAUGUGGCAGCCUGGAAAACAUCGCCAGUCCGUCGCAGGCAACUUUGCAGCGAUUCCAUUAAUUGCAAACAGAUAUUUUUGUGACAACUGUUCAGUUGUUUUUCCUCUGAGCAGCGCCCAGAUUCUUUGACUUACACUCUAUUGAAUACUACACAACUGACUGUCCUGUCAGUGUCUAUCUUUUAAAUAGACUGUGCGACUGAUCGCAUGGCAAUGAGGUUUAAAAUGAACAGUUCAUCUUCUGA